UGGUAUUGCGAAAACAGACGCGCGUGAUCACGAAAAGUGUGCGGACGCUGGCCAUUCCGACGCAGAGGUUGCAGGCACCUUCGGAGGCUCCCGGAAAGCGGCUACGCCGUAGGCUGCAAUGGCAGCCGGCCUUCGCUCCAUUUCUGUGGCAUGAGGCGGCCCGUGCUCCCAAGAUAGCGCGCCCUGGCCUGGCGCCGCGCCAAAGGGGCGGGCGGCUGCAGAUAAGGGCCCGCUAUAAAGGGAGGCCCCGUGCGCUCAGACCUCCUUUGGUGGUUUGCGCUCCCGUGGUGGCUCUCCUGGAUGAUUGGCUCUCUCCUGGAUUACCGUUCGUGUCGGCGACAUUUGCUCCCGUCGUGGCCCGCUCUCGCCGUGGAUCUACGGGCACAUUAGCUCUGUCGCUGACGCCAAAUUCUGCCUCAAACGUCUCGAUGCUCUGCGAUGCUCGCGCCACGUUCCUAACGGACAUGUGAAAACUGUCGUGACGCAAGCUAGCUUCGCUCGAUCUUGGACUAAACAAACGUAUCGGCCGUUCUGCACAGCAUAUGUGCCCGCCGCUUAUUGCCCGUUGCUUCCGUCACCGCCGUUUGACUCGCUGCAUUACACGAGGCCGCGUUCUGCCACGUUUUCUAUCGUUUUUGCUGUCGCUGCGGUUGGUAGCAGCCGAACUCCGUUCGGAAGCGUCGUGCUGUUUUUGGAGACUGCUGACGAAGCGCGCAGCGGCGCCUUUCUUUAGACGACCUUUGCGAUGCCCUCGCGGCAGAACUGCGCCGUCGCAAUCAAGGCCGCCGCUGAUAACGCGACUUCACGAGCGUCACGAUCGCCUCGAGGUGGCAGGGUUAUCAACGGACUUUCGGGAGGUCGAGUGAACGAACCGGAGAGCGGGCUCAAGCACGCGCCUCUGCGAGAUAAGCCACGCGGAAGAUACGCGCGUCAUGCGCUGCUGCGUCACUGGAAACAAACAAGGAUCGCUAAAUCGGGAGGCGUUGGCCACAAGAGCUUUUCCUCCACUCCAGGCCAGAUGAUCGCGCUCGAACUGCUUGAGCCUACCGCAGUUGAGGGCAAACGAACAGCUCGUACAGAUAACCCUCGGCUCUUCGUGGAACGCGUGACCAGAAAUAAAGGAACGGCCG